rnacentral:rRNA from 1 species
CCUACGGGUGGCAGCAGUGAGGAAUAUUGGUCAAUGGCCGGAAGGCUGAACCAGCCAUGCCGCGUGACGGUCAGUGCCCUAUGGGCGUUAAACUUCUUUUGUGCGGGAGCAAUAAUGGUCACGUGUGGCCAGACGCGAGUAACGUACGAAUAAGCAUCGGCUAACUCCGUGCCCGCAGCCGCGGUAAUAAGGGGGCUACAAGCGUUAUCGCGAUUUAUUGGGUUUAAAGGGUGCGUAGGCUGGGAGGUAAGUCAGCGGUGAAAUUCCCACGCGCAACGGGGUGAAGUGCCAUUGAUACUGGCUGGCUGGAAUGCGGAAGCGGUGGGAGGAAUGUGAGGUGUAGCGGUGAAAUGCAUAGAUAUC